rnacentral:rRNA from 1 species
AUUGAACGCUGGCGGCAGGCCUAACACAUGCAAGUCGAGCGCGAAAGUUCUUCGGAAUGAGUAAAGCGGCGGACGGGUGAGUAAUACAUGGGAAUCUGCCUGGUAGUGGGGGGACAACGUUUCGAAAGGAACGCUAAUACCGCAUACGCCCUACGGGGGAAGUGGGGGGGAGUCGCAAGACCUCUCGCUAUCAGAUGAGC